rnacentral:rRNA from 2 species
GACGAACGCUGGCGGCGCGCCUAACACAUGCAAGUCGAGCGAUGAAAGUUGUUCAGAUCCUUCGGGUGACGAACUUCCGGAUUAGCGGCGAACGGGUGAGUAACGCGUGAGGAACCUGCCUCUCACAACGGGAUAGCCUCGGGAAACCGGGAUUAAUACCGUAUGACACUAUCAGAUGGCAUCAUCAGGUAGUUAAAGUGCUAGCGGUGAGAGAUGGCCUCGCGUCUGAUUAGUUAGUUGGUGGGGUAACGGCCUACCAAGACGACGAUCAGUAACCGGCCUGAGAGGGUGAACGGUCACAUUGGAACUGAGACACGGUCCAAACUCCUACGGGAGGCAGCAGUGGGGAAUCUUGCACAAUGGGGGAAACCCUGAUGCAGCGACGCCGCGUGAGCGAUGAAGGUUUUCGAAUCGUAAAGCUCUGUCCUAUGGGAAGAUAAUGACGGUACCAUAGGAGGAAGCCCCGGCUAACUACGUGCCAGCCGCCGCGGUAA